GAUGAACGCUGGCGGUAUGCUUAACACAUGCAAGUCGAACGGACUCUUCGGAGUUAGUGGCGGACGGGUGAGUAACGCGUGAGAAUCUGGCUUUGGGUUCGGGACAACCACUGGAAACGGUGGCUAAUACCGGAUGUGCCGAGAGGUAAAAGAGAAAUUGCCUGAAGAUGAGCUCGCGUCUGAUUAGCUAGUUGGUGAGGUAAAGGCUCACCAAGGCAGCGAUCAGUAGCUGGUCUGAGAGGAUGACCAGCCACACUGGGACUGAGACACGGCCCAGACUCCUGGGGGGGGAAGCAGGGGGGAAUUUCCCGAAAGGGGGAAAGGCCGGACGGAGAAAUACGGGGUGAGGAAAAAAGGCUCUUGGGUUGAAAACCUUUUUUCUGAGGAAAGAAAAAAAUGAGGGUCCCUAAGAAAUAAGCGCCGGCUACCCCGGUC
rnacentral:rRNA from 1 species